rnacentral:lncRNA from 1 species
AUUUAGGUUGCCAUUCAAGAAGAAAUCUGGAAUAUAUAUGUAAGAAUAAAGGUACAUAAAGAGAUAAAUCAAUCUGGAGAAAAAGAACAAAGUGGCUUUCUUUACUAGAUAUUAAGAUAGGCUACACGGCUGGGCACAAUGGCUCACGCCUGUAAUUCCAGCACUUUGGUACAAGCGGGGUAGGGGGUCACCCACUGAAAUACCCAUC